rnacentral:tRNA from 1 species
UUCAACAAGUAAUUUCAAUUGGUUAAAAUAACAGUUUGUCAAAUUGUAUUUGCGAGUUCGAAUCUCGUCUUGUU